UGGGGAAUAUUGCACAAUGGACGGAAGUCUGAUGCAGCAACGCCGCGUGCGGGAUGACGGCCUUCGGGUUGUAAACCGCUUUUUCUCAUGACGAAGUUUUUUGACGGUAGUGGGGGAAGAAGCACCGGCUAACUACGUGCCAGCAGCCGCGGUGAUACGUAGGGUGCGAGCGUUGUCCGGAAUUAUUGGGCGUAAAGAGCUUGUAGGCGGUUUGUCGCGUCGAUAGUGCAAACUCAGUGCUUAACGCUGAGCCUGCUGUUGAUACGGGCAGACUAGAGGAAGGUAGGGGAGAAUGGAAUUCCCGGUGGAGCGAUAGAAUGCGCAGAUAUCGGGAGGAACACCGGUGGCGAAGGCGGUUCUCUGGGCCUUUCCUGACGCUGAGAAGCGAAAGCGUGGGGAGCGAACAGG
rnacentral:rRNA from 1 species